GAUGAAGAACGUAGCGAAAUGCGAUACUUGGUGUGAAUUGCAGAAUCCCGUGAACCAUCGAGUUUUUGAACGCAAGUUGCGCCCGAAGCCUUUUGGCCGAGGGCACGUCUGCCUGGGCGUCACGCAUCGCGUCGCCCCCCACAAUUCUCCGUAAAGGGAACGUGUGUUUUGGGGGCGGAUAUUGGUCUCCCGUGCUCAUGGCGUGGUUGGCCGAAAUAGGAGUCCUUUCGAUGGACGCACGAACUAGUGGUGGUCGUAAAAACCCUCGUCUUUUGUUUCGUGCUGUUGCUCGCAAGGUCAACUCUUUAAAAACCCCAAUGUGUCGUCUCUUGACGACGCUUCGACCGCGACCCCAGGUCAGGCGGGACUACCCGCUGAGUUUAAGCAUAUCAAUAAGCGGAGGA
rnacentral:misc_RNA from 1 species